AUUGAACGCUGGCGGCAGGCUUAACACAUGCAAGUCGAGCGAGUGGCGGACGGGUGAGUAAUGUCUGGGAAACUGCCUGAUGGAGGGGGAUAACUACUGGAAAAGGUAGCUAAUACCGCAUACCAUCGGAUGUGCCCAGAUGGGAUUAGCUAGUAGGGGGGGUAAAGGCUCACCUAGGCGACGAUCCCUAGCUGGUCUGAGAGGAGGACCAGCAAAACUGGAACUGAAACACGGUCCAGACUCCUACGGGGGGAAGCAGGGGGGAAUAUUGCACAAUGGGAGCAAGCCUGAUGCAGCCAUGCCGCGUGUAUGAGGAAGGCCUUCGGGUUGUAAAGCACUUUCAGCGAGGAGGCGUUACUCGCAGAAAAAGCACCGGCUAACUCCGUGCCAGCAGCCGCGGUAAUAC
rnacentral:rRNA from 1 species